rnacentral:lncRNA from 1 species
AAAAAAAAAAAGUGUAUAUCUUUAAAUUCAAUUUCCUUCACUCAUUUUCUGAAGUAAUUUAGAUUUUCUGAAUUAUAAUUUGUACACCAUAAUUUAGACAAAUAACAAUAUCCAAAUUAUACAGGAAAAUCUAAAAUCCAACAAUAAAGUUUUUCUGGAGCCUAUCCAAUUUUUCUCCUUAUCUAUUUCAUAUAGACAUAUACUAUCCGGUAAUAAUAUAUGUGUGGAUAAGAUUUUUUCUCCCCCAAUUGCUGCUAAUUCUUGCAUGCAAAUAAGAAGGAAAAAACUGCUACUUUCUCUCUCUUUAUCUCUGUACGCGUACAGACAGCAGGUACCAAAAAACUGUAAGAACUUGAAUACGUUUUCCCAUUGUCCAUUAAUUCUUGGGUUUCGUCCUUUUUUUGGGUGUUUAAAUUGAUGGAAUG